GAUGAACGCUAGCGGCAGGCCUAAUACAUGCAAGUCGAACGCUCAGUAGCAAUACUGGGAGUGGCGCACGGGUGCGUAACGCGUACACAAUCUACCUCUAAGCGGGGGACACCUCCUGGAAACGGGGAUUAAUACCGCAUAAUAUGCCGAGGUCGCAUGACUUUGGUAUUAAAGCAGCAAUGCACUUAGAGAUGAGUGUGCGUCCCAUUAGGUAGUUGGUGAGGUAACGGCUCACCAAGCCUAUGAUGGGUAGCCGGUCUGAGAGGAUGGUCGGGCCACACGGGCACUGAGACACGGGCCCGACUCCUACGGGAGGCAGCAGUAAGGAUAUUGGUCAAUGGUGGAAACACUGAACCAGCCAUGCCGCGUGGAGGAAUAAGGUCCUACGGAUUGUAAACUCCUUUUGACGAGGAAGAAAGUGUUAGAUUUAUCUAAAUUUUGACGGUACUCGUAGAAUAAGCACCGGCUAACUCCGUGCCAGC
rnacentral:rRNA from 1 species